CAGUCAUAAAUUUAUUUCUAUUAACGUUGAGUGGGUUUCAUUGCGUAUUCGUAUGCGAAGCGUGAGACGAAUUUGGAAUGUAAAUCAGUGUAUAUUGUUAUAGUAUAAUAUUAUGAUCAGUUUGUUUUACUCGCGUUCGCGUUCCGUCGCAGUUGUCUGAUGCGGAAAUACGACGUGCACAUUUCGACCAGACCAUCCGUCAUCGGCAAUAAUAUUUCACCGUUUGUUUAUUAUAAGACACGAUCGCUCCACCAAUUCGGAAUGUUCGGAUGACGUUUCGUGUACACUGCAGCUAUACGACGAUCACUAGAUGUGUACACAUCAGACGACCAUGACGACGACGGUUUCCACGACGUCCGGACCAAUUGUGUCCGUCCGCCUGCUACACAGUCCGGCCGGAAGUGCAUGCCUAAUAUAAUAACAUCGUAUCCAUCCCCGAGACAAACGUAAAAUAAUGUCCAAGCGACGAAGUGCUGACCUGGGCACGGGGCCGACUUGCCGUCGAUCGCAUAGUAGCAGUGCUACUCCAGACAACAACGACUUACAAACCGUUGUCGUGUCACAGUUAUGAGAAGAUUUAUUAUGCUACCCAUGUCUACGUGAAGUUCACUUGGACCAUCAAUGUGGACUUCAGGAACGACGAUGUGAACGUUGAUGAACGAGGACAUUAUGCCUGUUCCAGUGGAUAUCUG